rnacentral:rRNA from 1 species
CCUACGGGAGGCAGCAGUGAGGAAUAUUGGUCAAUGGGCGGAAGCCUGAACCAGCCAAGUCGCGUGAGGGAUUAAGGCCCUGCGGGUCGUAAACCUCUUUUAUCAGGGGCGAAGCAAGUGACGGUACCUGAUGAAUAAGCCACGGCUAACUACGUGCCAGCAGCCGCGGUAAUACGUAGGUGGCAAGCGUUAUCCGGAUUUACUGGGUGUAAAGGGCGUGUAGGCGGGAAAGCAAGUCAGAUGUGAAAACCAUGGGCUCAACCUGUGGCCUGCAUUUGAUACUGUUUUACUUGAGUACUGGAGAGGCAGACGGAAUUCCUGGUGUAGCGGUGAAAUGCGUAGAUAUUAGGAGGAACACCAGUGGCGAAGGCGGUCUGCUGGACAGCAACUGACGCUGAGGCGCGAAAGCGUGGGGAGCGAACGGGAUUAGAUACCCCAGUAGUC